AGCCCCAUUUUUGUAAAAAGAUCUUUGAAGGAUCCAGUGGUGCGAUGGAGGUGGAGAGUGCCAAAAAUGUAUUAGCUCGAUCUGUUGCUACUCGGAAUGUACGAUAUAAGAAUUAUCUGGGAGAUGGGGUCAGUAAAGGGUCUCAGUCAGUAGUGAAUUCUCAACCAUAUGGAAAAGAUUUCAAAAUUGAGAAGUUGGAGUGCGUCGGCCAUGUACAGAAGCGUGUUUGGGGAAGGUUACGAAAGAGCAUGAAAGGGCAAAAGUUGAGCGAUGGCCUGAAAAUUGGUGGGAAAUCAGGGAGGCUGACUGACAGUGCAAUAGAUUCAUUGCAAAAUUAUUAUGGUCCUGCCAUCAGACGCAACACAAAUGAUUUAGAAAAAAUGAAAAAAGAAAUAUGGGCAACAUUCUUCCACAAGCUUUCGACAGACGACAAUCCCCAACACGAGCUGUGCGAUGUGGCAUGGUGCAAAUAUAAGCAAGCUGAAAAAGAAAGACAAGCUUAUAAACAUAAACACUCAUUAGACAAAGCUGUAUGUGAAAUCAUAAAACCAACGUAUAAAGAUUUGGCAAACCCUGAUCUUCUGCGCAAGUGUUCACAUGGUAAAACACAAAAUGUAAACGAAAGUUUCAAUUCAGUCCUAUGGACAAGAAUACCCUAAAUCAACUUUGUAGGGACCUCUACUUUGAAGUUUGGCAAUUAUGAUACUAUAAUAACAUUUAAUAAUGGAAACGGGUAGAAUUAAAGUGCUCAAUGAACUAUGUGUAAAAGUUGGAAGUAACUGUGUAAAGACCUUCCAAAACAUCGACAACAUGCGUGUGGAGAAAGCAGACUAUGCAGCUUUACCGGAGACUAAGGAGAGAAGAAAAAGGUUAAGGAUGGCAAAGAAGAAGCUUCUGGAUACAGAAAAGGAACAGGAAAAUAGUUAUCGACCUGGAAUGUUUUGAUUAUGAAUAAAAGUAUCUAACAGUUUUAUUCCUACACAGAUUACCGAAAACAAAUUGGCCCACAUUAACACGUUCAAUGCUGAUGACGCCAGUUGGCGUCACACGGAACGUGCCUUGUAUGCUGAUGACGCCAGUUGGCGUCACUCCCACCUUUUUGCAAGCCAAAACUUGUAGCCAUAUUAUCCUGUCUUAUCAGUCAGUAAGUGGUUGUUUUUCAGAGUGAUUACUCGUGUAAUAAGUUAUACUUAUUAGUUUAAGUGUUCGUUUUGAGUUUAAAUUAUCAGUGCGUAAAUAAAUAUAUGUUAUAAUGAGUUAUAAUAUGCCGAGUACCUCUCGUGAAACCCAAGAUAUGACAAUAAGUGAAAUUGACCGCGAGUUGAAUUCUGACACGGAAUCUGAAGCACUGAGUAGUGGUGACACUUAUAUUCCCGGGGAAAGUGAUUGGGAUUUAGAUAGCUGUGGUAAUGACACCCAGGAAGAUGAACAGGAUGGAUCAGUUCAGACGCUUCCAUCACCUACUGUUCCAGCUACGGUUGCUCCCAUUGCCAUUGCCAGUGCAGUCCAAACUACACAAGGUAGGAGAAGAGCUGAUUUACCUCAGUUAGUAUGGAAUGACAAUCCUGCUUUGAAAACUUUUAUAUUUAACCAACCUACUGGUCUUAAGGUUCCAAUACCGGGUAAUAAUAAGCCUAUGGAUUAUUUGACAUUAAUUUUAGAUGACGUUAUGCUGCAAUCAAUUAUUAGGGAAACUAAUAUAUACGCAGAAGAAGUAUUUCUUUCUAGUUCCCAUGCACAACACUCACGCAUGAGUUACUGGCGAGACCUAAAUAUCCAAGAGCUAAAGGUAUUUUUGGGCCUCUUUCUACAUACAGGAAUAGUAAAAAUGCCAAGACUAGAGAGUUAUUGGAAAAGAGAUGAACUGUUCCAAACUUGUUUUGGGAAACACAUGUCACGUGAUCGGUUUAUGGGUAUUUUACGUUGCCUUCACUUUGCCAAAGUAGAUCAAGAUAGUACUGAUCGACUACAGAAAGUUAGGCUCCUGAUAGACCAUUUCAAUAACAAAAUGCUUAACAUUUAUACAUCAAAAAGAGAACUGUCCAUUGAUGAGUCGAUGAUCCUGUGGCAUGGUCGCCUAGUCUUUAGACAAUAUAUAAAAAACAAAAAACACAAAUACGGUAUAAAGUUUUAUCUUCUUUGUGAACCUAAUGGACUUACAAUGAAGUUCUGUAUAUAUUCUGGAGCUUUGGAUGAGUUAGGUGGUGUGGGACACACUGAAAAAGUAGUACUGCAUCUACUAAGAGAACGUCUGAACGCAGGCCAUUCAGUUUAUGCAGAUAAUUUUUAUAACAGUGUCAAUUUGACUAAACAGUUGUUACAACAAAGAACGUACAUAACAGGGACUCUGCGUGUAGAUAGGCAACAAAAUCCAGUAGAAGUUGUCCAAGCUAAACUCAAGAAGGGUGAAACAUGUGCAAAAUAUCAUGAAGGAGUUGUAGUUGGAAAAUGGAAGGAUAAGAGAAACGUUCUAUAUAUAUCCAGCCAAUUUGAAAAUGAGAUGAACGUGUCAGUAAAUAAACGAGGAGUAGAAAAACAAAAGCCUCUUCCAAUAAUAGAAUACAACAAGUAUAUGAGCGGCAUAGAUAGGUAGGAUCAGAUGCUUAGUUAUUAUCCAGCAGAAAGAAAAACAAUCCGCUGGUACAAAAAGGUAUUUGUGCACAUUUUACAAAUGGCAGUUUUGAAUGCUUUUUUACUGUUUCGUCAAAACAAUAUUGGAGAUAAAAUGACAUUGUUGACAUUCAGACUUGACAUAAUAAGGAAUCUUUUGAAUGCCGCAGACAACCAGCCGUUGCCCCGUAAUAUGCCAAAUAUUUCCGAACACCAACCGACAAAGCUCCCAAUGGGAUAUAAAGGAAGAAGGCUACGAAAACGUUGUGUAAUGUGUUACAGUAAAGGUAUUCGUAAAGACACAAUAUACCAAUGUGAGGUGUGCGACAGUAAACCUGGCCUAUGUCUGGGUGACUGUUUUAUAAAUCACCACAAGUAAAAGUAUAAAAGUGUCAAUGUAUAUAGUGUAAAUAUAAACUUGUUGUGAAUAUUAUAUUUUGUAAAGAAUAAAAACUAUGGAUACAAGGAGAGUGAUGAUAUGUCGGCUUUCCAUGUUAAGAACAAAACCACUUUAUUAAUCUUGAAAAAGUAUCCUGAACUUGACACUGUGCUGCCUAUAAAUUCUGACAAAGCAACUGAGAAGGAAAAUAUUGAAGUUGAUGAGUCAG
rnacentral:misc_RNA from 1 species